GACGAACGCUGGCGGCGUGCUUAACACAUGCAAGUCGAGCGAAGAGCGAUGGAAGCUUGCUUCUAUCAAUCUUAGUGGCGAACGGGUGAGUAACGCGUAAUCAACCUGCCCUUCAGAGGGGGACAACAGUUGGAAACGACUGCUAAUACCGCAUACGAUCUAAUCUCGGCAUCGAGGAUAGAUGAAAGGUGGCCUCUACAUGUAAGCUAUCGCUGAAGGAGGGGAUUGCGUCUGAUUAGCUAGUUGGAGGGGUAACGGCCCACCAAGGCGAUGAUCAGUAGCCGGUCUGAGAGGAUGAACGGCCACAUUGGGACUGAGACACGGCCCAGACUCCUACGGGAGGCAGCAGUGGGGAAUCUUCCGCAAUGGACGAAAGUCUGACGGAGCAACGCCGCGUGAGUGAUGACGGCCCUCGGGUUGUAAAGCUCUGUUAAUCGGGACGAAAGGCCUUCUUGCGAAUAGUGAGAAGGAUUGACGGUACCGGAAUAGAAAGCCACGGCUAACUACGUG
rnacentral:rRNA from 1 species